UCCAUUCCAGCAGGUGGCGGUAAUGCAUUCUACAGCUUUUUUGCAAAAAUCAAAUACAAUCAAGAAGAGGAAGAACGUAAAACUUCCGUUUUGAGUCGGCUUUCCAACGUGAAUCUUGUAAAAGUAUCUUUAACCCUGUUUGUACGGUUUUUUAGGGUUUUCAUUUUGUUUUUGCUGAAUUUUCGUCUUGGCUCAACCAAAGCUCCGAGUUUUUGCUGCUAGUUUAGUCUGCCAGCUGGAAGCACAUCAACCACUGAGGAGCACAGCAAAAAUGGCUUCGCAGUUUAAUGAGUCUUCAGGAACAGACGACAGUGAUGGAAACUGGGAGGAGAGCAGUGAAGCUCAGACAGGUUUCAGGUCUGGGAAGAAAAACACCAAUCCAGUUGACAAGAAAGGUCAAAAGUUACACCGCUGCUCUGAGUGUGGGAAGACAUUCAGCCAGAGACCAUAUUUGUUUGAACACAAAAGAAUCCACACUGGAGAAAAACCUUUCAGUUGUUCCAUCUGUGACAAAACCUUUACAUGGAAUCGCGCUUUGUCACAACACAUGAAGACACACAGUGAAGAGAAACCUUUCAGCUGCUCCGUCUGUAGCAGUGGUGUUUUGACAAAAGUUUAUUUUAAAAAAACACACAUGGCAGUUCACAGUCGGCAUAGACCUUUCAGAUGUUCUGUCUGUAACGCAGCUUUUAAAUGCAAGAAGGAUUCAGUGCGACAUAUGACAAUCCACACUGUAGAGAGACCUUACAGCUGCUCUGUUUGUAAGAAAGCUUUCAAGAGGAGACAGACUGUAGUAGAACACACAAAGACCCACUUUGAAGAGAAAUCUUACAGCUGCUUGGUCUGUAAGGCAGCGUUCAAGUGGAAAACCACAUUCGUGAAGCAUAAAAGAAUUGAUACGCAUGAAUAACCCUCCAGUUACACGAACUGCGGUUGAUGUUUGAGCCACUUUCACAAGCACAUUAAGGGUAUAUUCAAAGUAAGGCUGUAAAAAUUCAUUGAAUGAUUCAAGAUCCUUGAUUAUUAAAAUUCCUCAAAGCAAAUUAUCUGCCUUGAAGCUUUAUUAAAUAAUGUCAUUGUUUGCACCAUGUGUUCCGGCUGGAUGAUUGUUUGUGUUGCGCAACACAGUCUCACUUCCACCAAUGUAUUGUUAAUGAGUGCUAAGUGCUUUUACGUAUGGAAUAAUAUGUACGGAAUAAUCGUUUUAUUUUCCUGUCCACUCCUCACAUUCUGUCUGUUGCAUCUCAGGAUAUUUCAGUGAUUGAUGAAAAUGUCUGGGUCCAAACAGAAUUUAUCAGCAUUACUGAUAUAUUUUAGUUUUGGACUGACAAACACAGAAGGCAGAAAUGUCAUAUAUUCUGGAUUUCAGACAGACAAGCCACAAACAUUUUCGUCUAGUUUUGUUUCAACAACAUAAAUUCAGACUUUCAAAUUAAAAAAUACCUUAUUGAUCUCGAAGGGAAAUUUAAUAUCCGUCUCAGUCAUGUCUCAGUCAUCAAAGACCCAUGUUAUUUUUGUCUUUGUUUCAUUAUUGUUAUAAAAAAAAAAGGUCAUCAUCAAAAUAAUUUCUUUCAUUGUCAGUGAACCGCGGCAAAGUGGGUGGAUGUAUGCAGGUGGACUGGAGACGCAUUUAGAUCGAGGGAAAGCAGCAGGGCUGCAGCUGUACUGAAGUUUGUUUGAAGUUUGUACCUUUCUGGUUGUAACAUAAUGAACCUGCUGUUUAAUUAUUUUUAUUACCAGAUUGAAUGCAAUUUCAAAUUGUAAUUUUCUCAACGAACUUGAAUGAUUGUGUAACCUUUGGCUAUUAUUGGAUGUGCAUUGAGACCUAUGCAUCGAUGCUGUCAGAACCCAAUAAUAUCCAGUUAUUUCUAUGCUGUACUUUUGUUUACAUGGGAUAACAGAGCUCUCAUUUACUCAGAUUAUCUAAAUCCACCACUUUGUAACCAACAACACUGCAUAAUUUACUGUAGAUGUAUUAUUGUUGCAAUGCCAUUGUGAUACUAUUACAAAAAGAACUGUUUUAAU